rnacentral:rRNA from 1 species
UACGUAGGGGGCAAGCGUUGUCCGGAUUUAUUGGGCGUAAAGAGCGUGUAGGCGGCUAGGUAGGUCCGUUGUGAAAACUCGAGGCUCAACCUCGAGACGUCGAUGGAAACCAUCUAGCUAGAGUCCGGAAGAGGAGAGUGGAAUUCCUGGUGUAGCGGUGGAAUGCGCAGAUAUCAGGAGGAACACCGGUGGCGAAGGCGGGUCUCUGGGCAGUAACUGACGCUGGAGGAGCGAAAGCGUGGGGAGCAAACAGG